GCUUUACACAUGCAAGUCGAGCGGCAGCGGGGGUGCUUGCACCUGCCGGCGAGCGGCGAACGGGUGAGUAACGCAUCGGAACGUACCCAGUCGUGGGGGAUAGCCCGGGGAAACCCGGAUUAAUACCGCAUACGCCCUGAGGGGGAAAGCGGGGGAUCUUUAGGGACCUCGCGCGAUUGGAGCGGCUGAUGUCGGAUUAGCUAGUUGGUGGGGUAAAGGCUCACCAAGGCGACGAUCCGUAGCUGGUCUGAGAGGAUGAUCAGCCACAUCGGGACUGAGACACGGCCCGAACUCCUACGGGAGGCAGCAGUGGGGACUUUUGGACAAUGGGCGCAAGCCUGAUCCAGCCAUGCCGCGUGAGUGAAGAAGGCCUUCGGGUUGUAAGCUCUUUCAGUUGGGAAGAAACGGUGCGCUCUAACAUAGCGCGCUACUGACGGUACCGACAGAAGAAGCACCGGCUAACUACGUGCCAGCAGCCGCGGUAAUACGUAGGGUGCGAGCGUUAAUCGGAAUUACUGGGCGUAAAGCGUGCGCAGGCGGUUGUGUAAGACAGGUGUGAAAUCCCCGGGCUUAACCUGGGAACUGCGCUUGUGACUGCACGGCUAAAGUACGGCAGAGGGGGG
rnacentral:rRNA from 1 species